UACGGAGGAUCCAAGCGUUAUCCGGAUUCACUGGGUUUAAAGGGUGCGUAGGUGGGCAGGUAAGUCAGUGGUGAAAUCUCCGGGCUUAACCCGGAAACUGCCAUUGAUACUAUCUGUCUUGAAUACCGUGGAGGUGAGCGGAAUAUGUCAUGUAGCGGUGAAAUGCUUUAGAUAUGACAUAGAACACCAAUUGCGAAGGCAGCUCACUACACGAAUAUUGACACUG
rnacentral:rRNA from 1 species